rfam:Asian citrus Psyllid, Diaphorina citri - Florida Strain, whole genome shotgun sequence.
GCCUUGUUGGUUUGGUUGGUAGCGCGUCUGCCUUGUAAGUGCGAGGCCGCGGGUUCAAUUCCCGCCCGGGGCG